rnacentral:sRNA from 1 species
GCCUACAGAAGAGAGACGCCAUGAGAGACAGUUGAGCUCAUAUUAAUGAGCAUUCACCAUGCCAGGCUUGGUUCUGGGUGCUAAGACAGCAGCAAACAGAACUGACAAUGAAGAAAGAGUUAAACAAAUAAACAUAUACCAGAGGAGGUGAUGGCGAUCAAGAAAAUACUAGAUAAAGUGGUGAAGAGAGACUGCGAUUGAAGAUUUUUUCAUCUCAGCUUUUUCCCCCCUACCUUGUUCUCUCUCAUGUUUCAUGAUCUGUGUCAUAGAUAUUUCUUCAUUACGAGCACUUCACUGUGUGGCUUUUCAAUGUCUAAAGUGGAUUAAGUGGCCCACAGUCAGUUCCGUGACUUGAGUUUCAAAAGUAAAAUUGCCAUCAACAAUGUGAUUCAAUUUUAUUUUCUAUACUAGCUAAAAGCAAGGAACUAUAUUAUUAACAAUCUUGGCUUUACUAUAGUUUAAGGCAGGUGAUGAUGAUGCUUAUUAGUCCAUCUGAAAGAGUCCUUCGAGGUUUUUGGAAGCUUUAUUCCUGCUUAUUACCUUGCCCUUGAGAAGUCCUUCAUGGAAAGUGGAAACACUGGGUUGACUUCUUUUCCCCAUAUCCUAGUUGAAAGGGACAGCUAUAUGUAUGUUAGUUAGACUGUCCAAAAGUGUUUGUAGAACCUCAUUUUAAAAAAUCAAC